rnacentral:rRNA from 1 species
UACGUAGGGUGCGAGCGUUAAUCGGAAUUACUGGGCGUAAAGCGUGCGCAGGCGGUUUUGUAAGCCAGGUGUGAAAUCCCCGGGCUCAACCUGGGAAUGGCAUUUGGGACUGCAAGGCUGGAGUGCGGCAGAGGAGACUGGAAUUCCUGGUGUAGCAGUGAAAUGCGUAGAUAUCAGGAGGAACACCGAUGGCGAAGGCAGGUCUCUGGGCUGACACUGACGCUCAUGCCACGAAAGCGUGGGGAGCAAACAGG